rnacentral:lncRNA from 1 species
CAGUACGUGACCAGCGCGAUUGCCGCCCUGGACGGGAUCACCAUCGCCAAAAGGAAGAGCCUGAACGAUAGUGUGCAAAAUGUCGUCACCGCCUGCGAUGAUUUGAAGAAAGCCAUGACAGUCGACCAGAAAACGCCUUUGAAGGAUUACCUGAAGACGAACCUAGACCAGUGGCCGGUUCUGCAGCAAAACCUGACAUCAAGCCUCGACGUAAUCAAAGACAUGCUCCCGAAUAUACGGAAGCAAGUCAACUCGGACAUCGCCUCCUUCAUCGACCAUGCCAGGA